rnacentral:rRNA from 1 species
ACGGGAGGCAGCAGUGGGGAAUAUUGCACAAUGGGGGAAACCCUGAUGCAGCAACGCCGCGUGAGUGAAGAAGUAUUUCGGUAUGUAAAGCUCUAUCAGCAGGGAAGAACAAUGACGGUACCUGACUAAGAAGCACCGGCUAAAUACGUGCCAGCAGCCGCGGUAAUACGUAUGGUGCAAGCGUUAUCCGGAUUUACUGGGUGUAAAGGGAGCGCAAGCGGUACGGCAAGUCUGAUGUGAAAGCCCGGGGCUCAACCCCGGUACUGCAUUGGAAACUGUCGAACUAGAGUGUCGGAGGGGUAAGUGGAAUUCCUAGUGUAGCGGUGAAAUGCGUAGAUAUUAGGAGGAACACCAGUGGCGAAGGCGGCUUUCUGGACCGUAACUGACGCUGAGGCACGAAAGCGUGGGGAGCAAACAGGAUUAGAUACCCUGGUA